CCUACGGGAGGCAGCAGUGGGGAAUAUUGGGCAAUGGGCGCAAGCCUGACCCAGCAACGCCGCGUGAAGGAAGAAGGCUUUCGGGUUGUAAACUUCUUUUCUCAGGGACGAAGAAAGUGACGGUACCUGAGGAAUAAGCCACGGCUAACUACGUGCCAGCAGCCGCGGUAAUACGUAGGUGGCAAGCGUUAUCCGGAUUUAUUGGGUGUAAAGGGCGUGUAGGCGGGAGCGCAAGUCAGAUGUGAAAACUCAGGGCUCAACCCUGAGCCUGCAUUUGAAACUGGGUUUCUUGAGUGCUGGGGAGGCAAUCGGAAUUCCGUGUGUAGCGGUGAAAUGCGUAGAUAUACGGAGGAACACCAGUGGCGAAGGCGGAUUGCUGGACAGUAACUGACGCUGAGGCGCGAAAGCGUGGGGAGCAAACAGGAUUAGAUACCCUUGUAGUC
rnacentral:rRNA from 1 species